rnacentral:rRNA from 1 species
UACGUAGGGCGCAAGCGUUAUCCGGAAUUACUGGGCGUAAAGGGCUCGUAGGCGGCCAACUAAGUCAGACGUGAAAAUCCCUCGGCUUAACCGGGGAACUGCGUCUGAUACUGGAUGGCUUGAGAUUGGGAGAGGGAUGCGGAAUUCCAGGUGUAGCGGUGAAAUGCGUAGAUAUCUGGAGGAACACCGGUGGCGAAGGCGGCAUCCUGGACCAACACUGACGCUGAGGAGCGAAAGCCAGGGGAGCAAACGGG